AUGGCUCAGAACGAACGGCUGGCGGCGUGCUUAACACAUGCAAGUCGAACGCGAAGGGACUUCGGUCCUGAGUAAAGUGGCGCACGGUGAGUAACGCGUAGAUAACCUGUCUUUAUGUCUGGAAUAAUACGCCGAAAGGGGUACUAAUACCGGAUAUUUUUGCAUUGCAUAAGCAGUGUAAGCAAAGGUGGCCUCUGACAUAAGCUACUGCAUAAAGAGGGGUCUGCGUACCAUUAGCUAGUAGGUGGGGUAAAGGCCUACCUAGGCUACGAUGGUUAGCGGGUCUGAGAGGAUGAUCCGCCACACUGGCACUGGAACACGGGCCAGACUCCUACGGGAGGCAGCAGUGAGGAAUAUUGCGCAAUGGGGGCAACCCUGACGCAGCGACGCCGCGUGAGUUGAGGAAGGCCUUCGGGUCGUAAAGCUCUGUCAAAGGGAAAGAAGUGCAUGGUGGUUAAUACCUGCCAUGUUUGACGGUACCCUUAAAGGAAGCACCGGCUAACUCCGUGCCAGCCGCUGC
rnacentral:rRNA from 1 species